GACGAACGCUGGCGGCGUGCUUAACACAUGCAAGUCGAACGAAGAGCGAUGGAAGCUUGCUUCUAUCAAUCUUAGUGGCGAACGGGUGAGUAACGCGUAAUCAACCUGCCCUUCAGAGGGGGACAACAGUUGGAAACGACUGCUAAUACCGCAUACGAUCUAAUCUCGGCAUCGAGGAUAGAUGAAAGGUGGCCUCUACAUGUAAGCUAUCACUGAAGGAGGGGAUUGCGUCUGAUUAGCUAGUUGGAGGGGUAACGGCCCACCAAGGCGAUGAUCAGUAGCCGGUCGGAGAGGAUGAACGGCCACAUUGGGACUGAGACACGGCCCAGACUCCUACGGGAGGCAGCAGUGGGGAAUCUUCCGCAAGGGACGAAAGUCUGACGGAGCAACGCCGCGUGAGCGAUGACGGCCUUCGGGUUGUAAAGCUCUGUUAAUCGGGACGAAAGGCCUUCUUGCGAAUAGGGAGAAGGAUUGACGGUACCGGAAGAGAAAGCCACGGCUAACUACGUG
rnacentral:rRNA from 1 species